UUCUGAGCCGGGAACAGAUCCAGUCUGAAAAGCGGAAGGUCGGCGGUUCGACCCCGCCCCUGCCCACCA
rnacentral:tRNA from 1 species